GAUGAACGCUAGCGGGAGGCCUAACACAUGCAAGCCGAGCGGUAUUGUUUCUUCGGAAAUGAGAGAGCGGCGUACGGGUGCGGAACACGUGUGCAACCUGCCUUUAUCUGGAGGAUAGCCUUUCGAAAGGAAGAUUAAUACUCCAUAACAUAUUGAUUGGCAUCAAUUAAUAUUGAAAGCUCCGGCGGAUAGAGAUGGGCACGCGCAAGAUUAGCUAGUUGGUGAGGUAACGGCUCACCAAGGCGAUGAUCUUUAGGGGGACUGAGAGGGUGAUCCCCCACACUGGUACGGAGACACGGACCAGACUCCUACGGGAGGCAGAAGUGAGGAAUAUUGGUCAAUGGGUGCAAGCCUGAACCAGCCAUCCCGCGUGAAGGACGACUGCCCUAUGGGUUGUAAACUUCUUUUGUAUAGGGAUAAACCUACCCUCGUGAGGGUAGCUGAAGGUACUAUACGAAUAAGCACCGGCUAACUCCGUGCCAGCAGCCGCGGUAAUAC
rnacentral:rRNA from 1 species